GUGGCUCAGUGGAUAGAGCGUCGGCCUGCGGACUCAAGGGUCCCGGGUUCGAUUCCCGGC
rfam:Myotis brandtii contig199599, whole genome shotgun sequence.